rnacentral:misc_RNA from 1 species
AACCGCCGUGUACGGAACCGUACGCACGGUGGUGGUGUGAGAGGUCGGGAGAUUAUUAAAAUCUCCCUCCUACGCGAU